AUCUUUGGGUGAGCUUCCUUUCCCACAAUGCACAGCGGCAUACUGCACUUUAUAAGUGAAUGCGUGACUUCCGCUCUGUCUUUCAAUGUUGAACCGAGCUGUGGAGAUGUCGCUGGAGCAGUGGGUGAAAGCAGAGAUGCUGCGACCCCUGUUUAACCGAUGCUGUGAUAGAGUAGUAGCCAUGGGGUAGAGCUACCGACCUCCUGCCUUGCCUUUGAGGCCAAAGGCGGAGCCUCUGAGAUGCUCAGUGUGGAGCUGACAGUCAUGCUGCAGGCUUACUGAAGGAGCUCGUGGAGCAGCUGGCCUGCAGGGGGCAGCAAACACCUGCAAUGAACGGAGACUGGCGUCAGCGUGUACAGGGAAGUCCUGCCCGGCUGGUGUGGAUGAGUGGAUAAAGAUCCUGCCUCAAGCUGACAGUCAUCAGUACACUCCAUGUUUCUGCCAUGUUGCUGGAUAAUGUUCUUGAAGUCAUCACCUACAUUUAACACUUCCAGGAAAUAACCAUAAGACUGAUGUGAUUAUGCUGACAUGUAAAAGCUAUGACCUUUGUUUCCAAAUGUUUGAAUACAAUUUGAUGUUGCAGCACCUGAUUGGUCACUAGUGAAUAAACUACAGUGAACAUGUCACCCAGUGUAGUGUUGUUGCUUAUUGCUCUUUCUGGUUAACAGUGGAGCUCUGUGGUGUGGAGAAAUGGUACAACACUAAAUUACAGUCAACAAUUAAGUUUGUAUGUAUUUAUGAAUAAAGUUGAUGUGU